GGGAGUGAAAUAGAACCUGAAACCCUGCACUUACAAGCUGUGGAAGCACAUUUCUUGUGUGACCGCGUACUUUUUGUAGAACGGGCCAACGAGUUACGUUAAGUAGCAAGGUUAAGCACUUAAGGUGCGGAGCCGUAGCGAAAGCGAGUUUUAACUGAGCGUUCAGUUACUUGACGUAGACCCGAAACCGGGCGACCUACCCAUGAGCAGGAUGAAGCGAAAGUAAAAGUUCGUGGAGGUCCGAACCCACGAGCGUUGAAAAGCUCGGGGAUGACUUGUGGGUAGCGGUGAAAUUCCAAUCGAGCCCGGAGAUAGCUGGUUCUCCCCGAAAUAGCUUUAGGGCUAGCCUCAAGGUGAGAGAUACGGAGGUAGAGCACUGAAUGUCCUAGGGGGUAUUGCACCUACCGAAGACUAUCAAACUCCGAAUGCCGUCAUCUUAUACUUGGGAGUCAGACUGUGGGUGAUAAGAUUCAUAGUCGAAAGGGCAACAGCCCAGAUCGUCAGCUAAGGUCCCUAAAUGUAAGUUAAGUGGUAAAGGAUGUGGGAUUGCACAGACAACCAGGAUGUUGGCUUAGAAGCAGCCACUCAUUCAAAGAGUGCGUAAUAGCUCACUGGUCGAGUGAUCCUGCGCCGAAGAUUUCCGGGGCUAAAACUUACUACCGAAGCUACGGCAUCAGUAAUGAUGGGUAGGGGAGCUUCCCAUACGGGUUGAAGCAUGACCGUAAGGACAUGUGGACAGUAUGGGAGUGAGAAUGUUGGCAUGAGUAGCGAGAUGUGGGUGAGAAUCCCACAGGCCGUAAACCCAAGGUUUCCAGGGGAAGGUUCGUCCGCCCUGGGUUAGUCGGGACCUAAGCUGAGGCCGAAAGGCGUAGGUGAUGGACAACAGGUUGAUAUUCCUGUACUACCGAU
rnacentral:rRNA from 1 species